AGUUUUAGUGUUAUCGAAUAUUUCAUUUAAACUAUACAUACAGACAUACCACAAUUCUUUCAUUAUCAGCUGACAAUUACUUUCACAAAAAUCCGGUGGUACUCUGCACAGUAAUAAAUACAAGAUUUGCGGAAACAGUAUCGUUUCGUAAUUCAUCAUAUCAUCACACAAAAUGAAAUUUUUUUCUUUCGCAUCGAUCAUAUUUUUUAGCUGCUGUUGUUUUAUUGCUACCUCAGAUAUUUUUAUUAAUAACAAUUUUAAUAAAGAUUCAGGUUUAAGGGCCAUAAUAUUUCGGGUAUCUUGUAGAGGAUGGCAUCAUAGCGGUCACUGCCUUGGGAACUACAAUCGAUUUCAUGAUGAAACGAUCAACAAAAAAUUUAUGAACCUGAAGACGAAGAAAAAAGAAAAUCCUAAGCCCAUAUUUAAGUUUUAAUUGUUGAAAGUAGCAGUGACUAAAUAUAAGAAGUAAUAUACCCCAAAUAGAUAUUUGGCUGCAUUCUCCAGUUAUUUAAUCCGUUUGUAAUUUUUGGUAAGAUAAUUGUAAAGAUUUAAUAAAAUGAUCCAACUAAUUUAAA